GAUGAACGCUAGCGGGAGGCUUAAUACAUGCAAGUCGAGGGAGAAAUCUGACUUCGGUUAGACGGAAACCGGCGAACGGGUGAGUAACGCGUACACAACCUACCCUUAACUGGGGGAUAGCCUUGGGAAACUGAGAUUAAUACCCCAUAAUAUUGAUUGAUUGCAUAUGACAUCAAUUAAAGCUCAGGCGGUUAAGGAUGGGUGUGCGUCCCAUUAGCUAGUUGGUGAGGUAACGGCUCACAAAGGCGACGAUGGGUAGGGGGCGUGAGAGCGUGAUCCCCCACACGGGUACUGAGACACGGACCCGACUCCUACGGGAGGCAGCAGUAAGGAAUAUUGGACAAUGGGCGCAAGCCUGAUCCAGCCAUCCCGCGUGCAGGAAGACGGCCCUAUGGGUUGUAAACUGCUUUUGUUAGGGAAGAAACCCCCCGAUUUAUCGGGGGCUGACGGUACCUAAAGAAUAAGCACCGGCUAACUCCG
rnacentral:rRNA from 1 species